CGACUCUGUUGCCUCCGGGGCGACCCUGCCUUCGGGCGGGGGCUCCGGGUGGACACUUCAAACUCUUGCGUAACUUUGCAGUCUGAGUAAACUUAAUUAAUAAAUUAAAACUUUUAACAACGGAUCUCUUGGUUCUGGCAUCGAUGAAGAACGCAGCGAAAUGCGAUAAGUAAUGUGAAUUGCAGAAUUCAGUGAAUCAUCGAAUCUUUGAACGCACAUUGCGCCCCCUGGUAUUCCGGGGGGCAUGCCUGUUCGAGCGUCAUUUCACCACUCAAGCCUCGCUUGGUAUUGGGCAACGCGGUCCGCCGCGUGCCUCAAAUCGACCGGCUGGGUCUUCUGUCCCCUAAGCGUUGUGGAAACUAUUCGCUAAAGGGUGUUCGGGAGGCUACGCCGUAAAACAACCCCAUUUCUAAGGUUGACCU
rnacentral:rRNA from 1 species